rnacentral:rRNA from 1 species
GUCCUAGCCGUAAACGUUGGGUACUAGGUGUGGCGGAUUCAUUGACAUCUGCCGUGCCGAAGCUAACGCAUUAAGUACCCCGCCUGGGGAGUACGGUCGCAAGGCUAAAACUCAAAGGAAUUGACGGGAGCCCGCACAAGCGGCGGAGCAUGCGGCUUAAUUCGAUGAUACCCGAAGAACCUUACCUGGACUUGACAUAAUGGGAAAAACCCUAGAGAUAGGGUGUGCGUAAGCGUCCAUUAC